CGGGGUGCAGCAGGCGCGAAAACUUUGCAAUGCGGGAAACCGUGACAAGGGAACUCUGAGUGCCCGUUAAAUCGGGCUGUCCAUCGGUUUAAAUAACCGGUGAAGAAAGGGCCGGGCAAGACCGGUGCCAGCCGCCGCGGUAAUACCGGCGGCUCGAGUGGUGGCCACUAUUACUGGGCUUAAAGCGUUCGUAGCUGGUUUGUUAAGUCUCUGGGGAAAUCUUCCGGCUUAACCGGAAGGCGUCUCAGGGAUACUGGCAAACUAGGGACCGGGAGAGGUGAGAGGUACUCCAGGGGUAGGAGUGAAAUCCUGUAAUCCUUGGGGGACCACCUGUGGCGAAGGCGUCUCACCGGAACGGCUCCGACAGUGAGGGACGAAAGCUGGGGGAGCAAACCGGAUUAGAUACCCGGGUAGUCCCAGCUGUAAACGAUGCGCGUUAGGUGUAUCGGUGGCCACGAGUCACCGAGGUGCCGAAGAGAAAUCGUGAAACGUGCCGCCUGGGAAGUACGGUCGCAAGGCUGAAACUUAAAGGAAUUGGCGGGGGAGCAC
rnacentral:rRNA from 1 species